AGGAUGAACGCUGGCGGCGUGCCUAAUACAUGCAAGUCGAGCGGUAAGGCUCCUUCGGGAGUACACGAGCGGCGGACGGCUGAGUAACACGUAGGAACGUACCCCAAACUGAGGGAUAAGCACCAGAAAUGGUGUCUAAUACCGCAUGUGCUCUAAGGAGUAAAGCUUCGGCGGUUUGGGAACGGCCUGCGUCCGAUUAGCUUGUUGGUGAGGUAAUGGCUUACCAAGGCGACGAUCGGUAGCUGGUCUGAGAGGAUGACCAGCCAGACUGGGACUGAGAACGGCCCAGACUCCUACGGGAGGCAGCAGUAGGGAAUUUUCCACAAUGGGCGAAAGCCUGAUGGAGCAACGCCGCGUGCAGGAUGAAGGCUCGUCGGGUCGUAAACUGCUUUUAUCUGUGACGAAUAUGACGGUAGCAGAUGAAUAAGCCUCGGCUAACUCCGCGCCAGCAGCCGC
rnacentral:rRNA from 1 species